rnacentral:rRNA from 1 species
UACGGAGGGUGCAAGCGUUGUCCGGAAUUAUUGGGCGUAAAGAGCUCGUAGGCGGUUUGUUGCGUCGGCUGUGAAAUCCCGAGGCUCAACCUCGGGUCUGCAGUCGAUACGAGCAAACUAGAGUGUUGCAGGGGAGACUGGGAUUCCUGGUGUAGCGGUGAAAUGCGCAGAUAUCAGGAGGAACACCGGUGGCGAAGGCGGGUCUCUGGGCAACAACUGACGCUGAGGAGCGAAAGCGUGGGGAGCGAACAGG